AUUGAACGCUGGCGGCAGGCCUAACACAUGCAAGUCGAACGAGUGGCGGACGGGUGAGUAAUGUCUGGGAAUCUGCCUGAUGGAGGGGGAUAACUACUGGAAACUGUCGCUAAUACCGCAUACCAUCGGAUGAGCCCAAGUGGGAUUAGCUAGUUGGUGGGGUAACGGCUCACCAAGCCGACGAUCGCUAGCGGGUCUGAGAGGAUGACCAGCCACACUGUGACCGAGACACGGUCCAGACUCCUACGGGAGGCAGCAGUGGGGAAUAUUGCACAAUGGGCGCAAGCCUGAUGCAGCCAUGCCGCGUGUAUGAAGAAGGCCUUCGGGUUGUAAAGUACUUUCAGCGGGGAGGCGUUACCCGCAGAAGAAGCACCGGCUAACUCCGUGCCAGCAGCCGCGGUAAUUC
rnacentral:rRNA from 1 species